UACGUAGGGGGCAAGCGUUGUCCGGAUUUAUUGGGCGUAAAGAGCGUGUAGGCGGCUAGGUAGGUCCGUUGUGAAAACUCGAGGCUCAACCUCGAGACGCCGAUGGAAACCAUCUGGCUAGAGUCCGGAAGAGGAGAGUGGAAUUCCUGGUGUAGCGGUGAAAUGCGCAGAUAUCAGGAGGAACACCAAUGGCGAAGGCAGCUCGCUGGGACGUGACUGACGCUGAGACGCGAAAGCGUGGGGAGCAAACAGG
rnacentral:rRNA from 1 species